rnacentral:tRNA from 1 species
AGCAGUGUGGCCUAAUGGAAAGACCACAGGCCUGGGAGCCUGAGGACCUGGGUUCUAAUCCCAACUCUGCCA